GAUGAACGCUGGCGGCGUGCCUAAUACAUGCAAGUCGAGCGAACAGACGAGGAGCUUGCUCCUCUGACGUUAGCGGCGGACGGGUGAGUAACACGUGGAUAACCUACCUAUAAGACUGGGAUAACUUCGGGAAACCGGAGCUAAUACCGGAUAAUAUAUUGAACCGCAUGGUUCAAUAGUGAAAGACGGUUUUGCUGUCACUUAUAGAUGGAUCCGCGCCGCAUUAGCUAGUUGGUAAGGUAACGGCUUACCAAGGCAACGAUGCGUAGCCGACCUGAGAGGGUGAACGGCCACACUUGAACGGAGACACGGUCCAGACUCCUACGGGAGGCAGCAGUAGGGAAUCUUCCGCAAUGGGCGAAAGCCUGACGGAGCAACGCCGCGUGAGUGAUGAAGGUCUUCGGAUCGUAAAACUCUGUUAUUAGGGAAGAACAAAUGUGUAAGUAACUAUGCACGUCUUGACGGUACCUAAGCAGAAAGCCACGGCUAACUACGUG
rnacentral:rRNA from 1 species